rnacentral:rRNA from 1 species
GCUGGCGGCGUGCUUAACACAUGCAAGUCGAGUGCGCGGUUGUAGCAAUACAACUGGCGCACGGCGCACGGGUGCGUAACACGUGGGUAACCUGCCCUUUGGUGGGGAAUAACUCCGCGAAAGCGGAGCUAAUUCCGCAUAAGAUCCGCAAGGAUGAAAGCCGCAAGGCGCCGAAGGAGGGGCCCGCGCCCGAUUAGCUAGUUGGUGAGGUAAUGGCUCACCAAGGCUUUGAUCGGUAGCUGGUCUGAGAGGAUGAUCAGCCACACUGGAACUGAGACACGGUCCAGACACCUACGGGAGGCAGCAGUGGGGAAUCUUGCACAAUGGGCGAAAGCCUGAUGCAGCGACGCCGCGUGGGGGAUGAAGCAUUUCGGUGUGUAAACCCCUUUCGAUCCGGACGAAACCCCGCAAGGGAUUGACGGUACGGAUAUAAGAAGCCCCGGCUAACUACGUGCCAGCAGCCGCGGUAAGACGUAGGGGGCCAGCGUUGUUCGGAAUUACUGGGUGUAAAGGGUUCGUAGGCGGUGCGGCAAGUUGGGAGUGAAAUCUCUGGGCUUAACCCAGAGGCUGCUUCCAAAACUGCUGUGCUUGAGUGUGGGA